CUCUCACUACACUACACACACAGCCUCUCAGCGGCGGAGUUAAAACCAAGGCAGAUCUAGUAUAAUGAUGAUGAUGAUGAUGAUACACAAGUUUUAGGUGGGAUUCAUAUUCGAAGAUUCGUAGAGUUUCUGGUUCUGAUUUUCUUCUUGUUGUUUAAAGGAUUUAUUGAGUGAAGAAAAAAGCAUCAGCAAAAGAUAAACCAGACGAGCCUUACACAUGGUGUUUGGUGAAUUUCUUAUACCAUGGUCCCAGACCUUGGUGUGUGGCGACUUCUGCAUGCCACCUUGGUGUGUUGUAAAAUCUGCAUGCCACUGUCCAAGGCCAUGGUCUAAAUGCCAUUGGAGCGUUGAAGCUUGAUUUCCGAAACCCCAAAUUUGGAUGGUUGUCCCCAGCAACUCAUUACUGAUCCUUGUAAUAAUGGCACCUUCCAUAGCCCAACAGCGAGCUCUUUGUUGGUUUAAACAAAGGGCAUAUUGUCACCACUAAGGAACUCGCUCCUUGUCCUUCUACCAGAAAAGGGAAGACCAGCAAGAGAGUUCUUUUUGUUAGGAGUUUGAUAAGGGAAGUUGCUGGAUUUGAUCCUUAUGAGAAGAGAAUUACUGAGCUUCUUAAAGUUGGAAAGGACAAGCGUGCUCUUAAGGUGGUUAAGAGAAUGUUGGGUAC